CCCUACGGGGUGCAGCAGGCGAAAGUGAUGCUGGGUAAAAAUCCCGAUGAAGUUCGGGUGAUAAAACCUCUGAAAGAUGGCGUGAUAGCAGAUUUUCAGGUAACUGAAUUGAUGUUGCGCAAUCUUAUAUUACGGGCACAAAAAAAGCGUCUCUUAGUGCGUCCCAGAGUGAUCGUCUGUGUUCCUUCUGGCAUCACAGAAGUGGAAAAACGUGCCGUGCGCGAUAGUGCUUUGCAUGCUGGAGGGCGGGAAGUUUUCUUGAUUUCAGAGCCAGUUGUGGCAGCCAUUGGGGCAGAUUUACCCAUCGAUGAAGCCUGUGGUAACAUGGUGAUGGAUAUUGGCGGGAGGGC
rnacentral:rRNA from 1 species